rnacentral:lncRNA from 12 species
AUGCGCAGUGCGCGGCGGGAGGAGGCGCGCGCCCGGGAGCAGCACCUGGCCGGCCCCGGCCGCGAGAGGAGGCCCCCAGCGCCUGGCGCCCCCGUGGGAAAGGGCGCCGCGCCUGGACCCGGAGCUCGCGACGACUGCCCGGCUCCCGCGCCGAGGUUUAGAGGACGUGCGGCUCAGCGACGGGGAACAGACAGCGCGGUGCCCCCGUCCUUUGAGACCCGGGGAAACGGACGCUGCUGCUCUGAGGCUGAGAAUUGCCGAAAAUGGCUCUCUUCAUCCCCAAGCCCAAACCUCGGGGUAACCGUAGAGAUUGGCAACAGUGCCCCGGCCCCUCAGGAACCCAGUGCAAAGAAAGACAUGAAGCUCAACUGCCACCUCUGCCAAGAAAGAAAGCCUCUCGCUGACGCUCCCAGGAUUGGAGAGUGUUCUUAGGAGAACCAGCCCUUGCCAGGAGACAAGAAUGAUUUAUUUUGAAGACAACAUCUUCACACGUGUGUCCCUGCAUAUCCGGGACCCUGGCUGUGUGUCAGUUUCUUGCUCAGGGAAGCUGUCAUUGGGAUUCUGUGGGGGGAAAUGUUCCAAAUGAAUCAAUUAAUGCUGCCAGCAACAAGUUCAAUACCACUGCACUGAGUGCCCCUGCUUUACAUCAGUGCAUGAAUGAAUUAUUGGUGCUCAUAUAAUUUUCAGAUCAUCGUUAUAAUGCAGUAGAAAAUUUCUUCUGCCCAGGUAGCAUCUAAGCAGAGAGCUGCAAUACCCUUCCCCCCUUAUACUCCCUAAAAUAAUUACUUACACAUAUAUGUGAGGUUUUACUUCCAGAUCUUUUAAUAUAAGACUCUCUAUGUGGACUCAAGGUCACCUCUUACACUCAUUAAACCAAUCUGAACAAAGUGUGAUAAUUCUUAAGGGAAAUCAACGCUGGAAAUGCUUUUGACUUUUUGGAGACAUGGGCAGAAUUCAUCAUCAGGUUAGACUCCGCAUGCAACAGUACUGAAAGCUCCACAUAGAGCAUCUCUCUGUCUGCUCUUGUUAUUCCUUUCUGCCACAUCUGGGGCAGUGUGUGUGUGUGUGUGUGUGUGUGUGUGUGUGUGUGAUGGGGGGGCAGUAAGGAAUAGCUUUUAUAUAGGAGGAGGAAAGAGGAAGAGCAUCACAGGAAAAAAAAAAUGUCUCUUCUGACCAUAUCUAAUUUGAUUCAGUUUUCUCCUUACCCCUGGCCUCUGGUGGGAUUUAAACAAACUCAAAAACACCACCCUCUUUGUUCUAAAUGAUUUGAAUAAGGUCAUCCAAUGGCAGGGGUGAGAAAUGAGAAAAAAAUGCACCUUAAUUUUGUAAUUUUUAUUUAUUUUAAUGUAUUAGGUGCCUGGAUAGAUCUUCAAGUAUAAAGCACCACUUCUAUCCUAUCCCCAUUUUUAAAACUACUUUCAAAUUCACUCUAAUCAAAUGCAUAAAACAUUAUUUUUUAAAGAAUUGUGUCACGAAGAGCUUUGUGUUCAAUGUUGUAACAGUAUAAUAAAACAGCUCAGGUAAGGACUUUUGGAUCA